rnacentral:rRNA from 1 species
UGGCGGCGUGCCUAACACAUGCAAGCGAACGGAGCAGCACGCUGAUGAUGGAGAUGCUUGCAUCAAAAGAAUCUGUGGCAGCUUAGUGGCGGACGGGUGAGUAACGUGUGGAUAACCUGGUCCAUCCAGGGGGACAGCAGCUGGAAACGGCUGAUAAUACCGCAUAAGCGCACACUAUCGUAUGAUAGAGUGUGAAAAGAGAUAUCGGGGAUGGAAUGGAUCCGCAUCUGAUUAGCCAGUUGGCGGGGUAGAAGCCCACCAAAGCGACGAUCAGUAGCCGGCCUGAGAGGGCGGACGGCCACAUUGGGACUGAGACACGGCCCAGACUCCUACGGGAGGCAGCAGUGGGGGAUAUUGCACAAUGGGGGGAACCCUGAAUGCAGCGACGCCGCGUGGGUGAAGAAGUAUUUCGGUAUGUAAAGCCCUAUCAGCAGGGAAGAUAAUGACGGUACCUGAGUAAGAAGCCCCGGCUAACUACGUGCCAGCCGCGGC